AGAUAAAACAAGGGAAAAUUAGUCCUAUGCUAAAAGCAUAACAUCUAAACGGUUAGAUUUUACAAUGCAGGGACCACAAGUGGUAACAAAACCCUCCAUAGGGAUCACCCAUGACAAAAAGCGAAUAGUAGGACCAAAAGCGCUAUUUUGGCAAAACCAUAGGGACCAAAAAAGUGUUUUACUCUAAAAUGAAUUAAAUAUAUAUUAAAUAACGGAAAUAUGACCAGAUCUCGUAUCAGAUGAAAACGAGGAAGUUCGAGUAAAGCGAAAGACGGAAGAAGGAGAAUUCAUGAAGUAAAUCAGUGAAUUGAAAAUAUAGUACAGUCGUUUUAAGCAUAUGGCUUGUAAUAUUGAGGAGAAAUCAUUCUGGGUUGAACUGGGUGCCGAUUUAGUCGAGGUGAAAACAUUGCAAAUAGGCAUCUGGCGAAUGUCAAAUAUUUGGUGAUAGCUUCAAGAAUGCAAAAUCUAUUUUAAUUGGGAAGGUCAUUGAAGAUGCAUCAUUAUAUUCCAAACCAUGUUACAGGUCAUUUUUUUUUUUAACUCGAGUGGGUGAGUUUUUCUAUGUGAACCUUGUAAAAUUGAAAAACACCAUGUCUUGUAUACACCACACUUUAAUAAAAUAAUCAAAUAAACAAACCGAAUGUUUCCUGUAAUUUAGGGAACCCAAGUGUCAAAGAUAUAACAUAA